rnacentral:rRNA from 1 species
GACGAACGCUGGCGGCGUGCUUAACACAUGCAAGUCGAACGGAAAGGCCCUGCUUUUGUGGGGUGCUCGAGUGGCGAACGGGUGAGUAACACGUGAGUAACCUGCCCUUGACUUUGGGAUAACUUCAGGAAACUGGGGCUAAUACCGGAUAGGAGCUCCUGCUGCAUGGUGGGGGUUGGAAAGUUUCGGUGGUUGGGGAUGGACUCGCGGCUUAUCAGCUUGUUGGUGGGGUAGUGGCUUACCAAGGCUUUGACGGGUGGCCGGCCUGAGAGGGUGACCGGCCACAUUGGGACUGAGAUACGGCCCAGACUCCUACGGGAGGCAGCAGUGGGGAAUAUUGCACAAUGGGCGGAAGCCUGAUGCAGCAACGCCGCGUGCGGGAUGACGGCCUUCGGGUUGUAAACCGCUUUCGCCUGUGACGAAGCGUGAGUGACGGUAAUGGGUAAAGAAGCACCGGCUAACUACGUG